AGAGAGUGCGAGCGUUAAUCGGAAUUACUGGGCGUAAAGCGCACGUAGGUGGGCAUUUAAGUCGGAUGUGAAAGCCCCGGGCUUAACCUGGGAACUGCAUUCGAUACUGGAUGCCUAGAGUAUGGUAGAGGGAAGUGGAAUUUCCGGUGUAGCGGUGAAAUGCGUAGAUAUCGGAAGGAACACCAGUGGCGAAGGCGACUUCCUGGACCAAUACUGACACUGAGGUGCGAAAGCGUGGGGAGCAAACAGGGAUUAGAGACCCUGGUAGUCCACGCCGUCAACGAUGAGAACUAGACGUUGGGAAGUUUAACUUCUUAGUGUCGUAGCUAACGCGUUAAGUUCUCCGCCUGGGGGAGUACGGCCGCAAGGUUA
rnacentral:rRNA from 1 species